CCAUACGUACUCAACCCUAUAAAUCAAACCCUUACAUUUCAGAGUUGAAUCGUUUAAGAAAAAAUGCCAGACCAUCCACCACCACCACACGGCGGCCACGGUCACGCACCACCCCCAGGUCCGGGACACCACGAGCCUCCUCCGCCCCAUGGCCAUGCUCCUCCUCCGGGGCCUCAUGCACCUCCUCCGGGACCCCAUGCACCUCCUCCGGGACCCCAUGCACCUCCUCCGGAACCCCAUGCACCUCCUCCGGGACCCCAUGCACCUCCUCAUGAUCCACACAAGCCACAUGACUGUCACCACGGUCACCACCACCCAUGAACCGAACUAGUCAUGAGGCCACGAUCGAGAAGCUAGUCUCAGCAAGUUGUUAUCUAUUUAUCUUUGUGCCUGUAAUGUGAUCUAGCUGCGGUUGUAGUUCUGAGUUGCUGGGUUUACUGGCUUUGCUCCAUUGAUCUCAUCGUUAUGUAAUGACUAAAAUAUGAGGACUAUGUAUGUAUCCAAAAGAAGGCUGAUCAUAUAUGUAUAAUAAGAAGAGUACUGGCUUUGUGGUUUAUGUAUAAUCCGCUUGUGUAAAACUUCUUCUUUUAUCCGUCUAAAUGUGAUGUAUAAUCAGAAAAUAUGGCCAGUUUGUCAUCUUGACCAACCUGAACUUACAAACUAAUUAAUUAAGUCAAUCUCCCCAAUUUCAUCAAUCUUCAUUAGGAUUUCAUCACUAGCUCAUUCCUUCACAGAUAAUUAACCAUUUGCUCGAUUGCUCUUAACAAACUGUAAUAGCCAAGAGGCAAACGCAUCCAUCUAAAUUCUAAAAAGUUAUUAACACAGGCUAGGGGUAAAUUAUCCUUUGUUCAGACCAAUCUCACAGUUGAAGCGAUGAAUUGGCUAAAACAAAAGCCUACGGGCAGAAAAACAAAGCAUCUCUAUUCGUACGGAAGAAUGACUUCCAUAUAUAGUAAGCCUUAUAGUUAUAACACCGUAAGUGUAUAAGAAUAGGAAUUCAUAAACGCAAUAAGAAGAAGACCGUGAAAGAGAUCGAAGAUUAAAGCAGGCCUUAAUGUCUUGUAUAUUCUGUACAAAAUUUCAACAGCCAGAUUUUCUCGAUGCAUUCGUCAGCUUCUGUUUGUAACCUUUCUUCUGUCAAAUCCUCCAUGGCUUUUCACGAGCAAUAAUUCUUGCAAGGUCCCAUUAACAAGCCUCACGUACGUUGUUCUUAUCUCCUUUUCCUUAGCUCACCAAGAAUUCAACUAUUACCAAGUGCAGCAACUAGUUUCUGUGAUCGAUCUACGGAAAGUUAAAGUUAUUGCUCAAAAGAGAAAGAGAAAACGGAAGUUAAAGUUCCAUGCUGCCCUAGUUCAAGUACGCACUCAGUUAUGAUCUUGUGGUUCUUACAAUGGAUGAAUGGAUGAAGCAUUACCACACAAAUACUCAGAAGAGAAAAACAAAACAACCACAGUGCACGAUUAACAUGCUAGCUAGCUUUCAUUGUGUGCAAAUAUCCUGAGCUACCAUUCCACCAAAACAAGCUAAAUAAGUUUAUCCUUGUAUGGAUAUUAUGUGAAUCGAAAUAAUUGUAUAUUUGAUUCUUAGAUAUUAUGUGGCACCUAUUACAACGAAGCAUGUGCCAUAUUCUGAAGAUAAUGUCGACACAUCUGAAUCAUCUAGAGCCCGUACCGACACCUUUCUCCUAUAAAAUCAACUCCUACUAGCUUAAACUCUUCAACAGUUCGCCACAUCAAGAACAACUUUCUUUUUGUUUAUACAAGCUAGUAGUCUCACCAAGAAUUCGAAGAUGCAUCACGGUGAUCAUCACGGCGGACCACCACACCACGGAGGAGGUCCGGGAGGAGGUCCGGGAGGUCCAGGAGGCGGCCCUCAACAUGGUCAUGGUCAUCAAGGAGCUCCGGGAGGAGGGCAUGGAGGACCAGGAGGAGGAGGGCAUGGAGGGCAAGGAGGAGGAGGACACGGAGGACCAGGAGGAGGAGGACAUGGAGGAGGAGGAGGAGGAGGACGAGGGGGGAGGAGGAGGACAUGGAGGAGGAGGAGGAGGAGGACGAGGGAGGAGGAGGAGGAGGACAUGGAGGAGGAGGAGGACGACGGAGGGCAUGGUGGUCACUGAUCAUGGCGCUAGACUACGUAUACUACUUGUGGUGUACUAGCUGGCUGAAUAAGUCUCUCUAUGUGACUUCUGUAGUAUUGUUUGUGUGUUAUCAUUUCCUAGUUGGGUCGAUCAGAUCCUAGAUAGUGAAGCUAGCUAGGGGAGUCGAUCUUGUGUUUGGAGUCUGUUAAUUAAUGUAUGUGUAUGGAUGUGUAAUAAAACCAUACUAGCUAUGUAUUUGAUUCGAGGCUUAACAUAUAUUGCAUGCAGCUAUAUAUAUAUAUAUAUAUAUAAUAUCCUUAGAUGACUAAGAACAUAAGAAACAGAGCAGUACUAUUGAUGAUUUACAAGAUUCAAUUUGUAUAAGUGAUCUUUGGCUUGUCCUAAUUAACCAUCAAGCAAAGCGCUAAGAACGAACAUAUUAUAUAUACUGCCAGAUGAUCAAGCAACUUUGCAGAGGGAUCAUGACGAAAUGUCCAUCUAGCAGCUUAAAUGCUUAAUUAGAACAAUUUUGCAAAACAAACACAAACUUGUAUAAUACGGUACCGAAAAUAUAAGUAUAACCGUUUGAAAUGUCAAGUUUAUCAAUCUUAUGAAAUCGAAGUAUCGUAAAUCGAUAAUGAUCUUCUUCAAAACUAGAACGAGAAUGUAACGUGUCUAUAUGACACUAUAAAUGUCUACGAAAUCAUGCGUUAAGAACAUAAUAUUAUAUUCCUUCGUUUUUUACUAAAGAAUAUCAUUACCGUUAAGCUUUAAUUGACAUACGUACGAUUGUACUUUGUAGUGAUACAUCUAAUUAUAUUGGUCGUGUGGUGCCCUUAGUAUAUUAAAAGGAAAAAACUAAAGAGACCAAAAGGCCCAAAGGAAACCACAGAAAUUGUCAUAAAGGUACAAGUGCAGCCCAACUUUCNNNNNNNNNNNNNNNNNNNNNNNNNNNNNNNNNNNNNNNNNNNNNNNNNNNNNNNNNNNNNNNNNNNNNNNNNNNNNNNNNNNNNNNNNNNNNNNNNNNNNNNNNNNNNNNNNNNNNNNNNNNNNNNNNNNNNNNNNNNNNNNNNNNNNNNNNNNNNNNNNNNNNGUCCUGAUCAUCACCUUCCUUGCCUAUGCUUCCUUCCACGCCUCCAGGAAGCCCCCCAGCAUCGUCAAGAGUGUUCUUGGCCCCAAACUCCUGUCCAAUUCGAGCUCUUUCGACACCGGUUGGGCUCCCUUUAAUGGCCCUGAUGGCACUCACAGGCUUGGAGAACUUGAUCUUGCAUUUCUAUCUGCAUAUUCUAUUGGAAUGUAUUUUGCAGGGCAUGUUGGUGAUAGGAUUGAUUUGAGGUUGUUUCUUGCUUAUGGGAUGUUAGGGAGUGGAGUUUUGACUUGUCUUUUCGGGUUAGGUUAUUGGUGCAAUGUGCAUAUGUUGUGGUACUUUGUGGGUGUGCAAGUUGUGUGUGGGUUGUUUCAGUCAAUAGGGUGGCCUUCUGUUGUGGCAGUUGUGGGGAAUUGGUUUAGGGUUUAGACAGCGGCCAUCACACGCCGGCCACGGUCACGCACCACCCCCAGGUCCGGGACACCACGAGCCUCCUCCGCCCCAUGGCCAUGCUCCUCCUCCGGGGCCUCAUGCACCUCCUUCGGGACCCCAUACACCUCCUCCGGAACCCCAUGCACCUCCUCCGGGACCCCAUGCACCUCCUCAUGAUCCACACAAGCCACAUGACCCGCACCACGGUCACCACCACCCAUGAACCGAACUAGUCAUGAGGGAUCACGAAGCUAGCUAGUCUCAGCAAGUUGUUAUCUAUUUCUGCCUGUAAUGUGAUCUAGCUGCGCUUGUAGUUCUGAGUUGCUGGGUUUACUGGCUUUGCUCCAUUGAUCUCAUCGUUAUGUAAUGACUAAAAUAUGAUGACUAUGUAUGUAUCCAAAAGAAGGCUGAUCAUAUAUGUAUAAUAAGAAGAGUACUGGCUUUCUGGUUUAUGUAUAAUCCGCUUGUGUAAAACUUCUUCUCUGUUAUCGGUCUAAAUGUGAUGUAUGAUCAGAAAAUAUGGUCAGUUUGUCCUCUUGACCAACCUUAACUUACAAACUAAUUAAGUCAAUCUCCCCAAUUUCAUCAAUCUUUAUUAGGAUUUCAUCACUCAUUCCUUCACAGAUAAUUAACCACACAUCCAAGCUGCAUUUGCUCGAUUGCUCUUAACAAACUGUAAUAAUUAACCAAGAGGCAAACGCAUCCAUCUAAAGUCUAAAAAUUAAGUUAUUAACACAAGGUUAAAUUAUCCAUUGUUCAGACCAAUCUCACAGUUAGAGCGAUGAAUUGGCUAAAACAAAAACCUACGGGAG
rnacentral:lncRNA from 1 species